rnacentral:tRNA from 1 species
GCCUCCGUAGCUCAGUGGACAGAGCUGCUGGACUCCUACUCCGCGCGCGCUGGUUCGAAUCCAGCCGGGGGCA